AUUCCCAAAGAGUUUCAAUAAGUGAAAAUUAAAAAUUUCUUUUCGGCCCUUUCAUCUAAAUUAUAUGUUGUUGAUUCAGUUUAAUAAUACUUUGACAUUACUAUUAAUUUAAAUGAGGGUCCUAUUAAAAGAUGAAGGUAAAAAUGUAACAUAUUGAAAUGAAGUAUCUCUUCAAAUUCGUUAAGUAGUAAAAGAAUUGUAUGUCACCAAAUUGUAGACUUCUCUUGUAUAUAUAGGUAUGAUAUUUACUAUUCAGCUCAUAAUAAAAAGUCAUUUCGAAAUUAUGGAUUGUAAGGCCUUACAGUUGUAAAAAUAUUGAAAAUCAUAUCAUUACAUCAUUAAACAAAGAAUGGGAAUGUGAAUGGAAACACUAACAUAUUAUGAGUAAUAUAUUGAAAUAUCUUGAAAAUGGUUUUGCAAGUGAAUUACCUUUCAAUCCGAAUCUCACACGAGUAUAUUACCCAGAUGUGACGCUCUCCUUCAAUCCUUAGUGUAUAAUGGAAGUUAUUAUAUAUCACUUUAUACAAUGGAUUAUAUGAUUAUGAAUAUGAUAUGAGUGGUAACUUCUCAAAUCUAAAAAACAUCAGAAAAACAGUUUCUAUCAUUUGUUGGACAUACGAUAUCAUAAUAUCACACCGCACUAAGGAUUCGAAUGAAAUUACUAAUAAUUUCAAUCAAAUAUCAAAAUGUAUCUAAAAAGGUGUUGCAAGUGCAUAACUUGUUAAUCCGAAUCCCAGACGAGUCUUUUACCUAGAUGUAACG